rnacentral:rRNA from 1 species
GACGAACGCUGGCGGCGCGCCUAACACAUGCAAGUCGAACGAGAGAUGAGGAGCUUGCUCUUCAAAUCGAGUGGCGAACGGGUGAGUAACGCGUGAGGAACCUGCCUCAAAGAGGGGGACAACAGUUGGAAACGACUGCUAAUACCGCAUAAGCCCACGGCUCGGCAUCGAGCAGAGGGAAAAGGAGUGAUCCGCUUUGAGAUGGCCUCGCGUCCGAUUAGCUAGUUGGUGAGGUAACGGCCCACCAAGGCGACGAUCGGUAGCCGGACUGAGAGGAUGAACGGCCACAUUGGGACUGAGAUACGGCCCAGACUCCUACGGGAGGCAGCAGUGGGGAAUAUUGCACAAUGGGGGAAACCCUGAUGCAGCGACGCCGCGUGAGUGAGGAAGUAUUUCGGUAUGUAAAACUCUAUCAGCAGGGAAGAUAAAUGACGGUACCUGACUAAGAAGCACCGGCUAAAUACGUG